UACGGGGGGGGCAAGCGUUGUUCGGAAUUACUGGGCGUAAAGGGUUCGUAGGUGGCCUACUAAGUCAGACGUGAAAUCCCUCAGCUUAACUGGGGAACUGCGUCUGAUACUGGGGGGCUUGAGUGCAGGAGAGGAACGCGGAAUUCCAGGUGUAGCGGUGAAAUGCGUAGAUAUCUGGAGGAAUACCGGUGGCGAAGGCGGCAUCCUGGACCAACAUUGACGCUGAGGAGCGAAAGCUAGGGGAGCAAACGGG
rnacentral:rRNA from 1 species